UACGUAGGGUGCGAGCGUUGUCCGGAAUUACUGGGCGUAAAGAGCUCGUAGGUGGUUUGUCGCGUUGUUCGUGAAAACUCACAGCUUAACUGUGGGCGUGCGGGCGAUACGGGCAGACUGGAGUACUGCAGGGGAGACUGGAAUUCCUGGUGUAGCGGUGGAAUGCGCAGAUAUCAGGAGGAACACCGGUGGCGAAGGCGGGUCCCUGGGCUAACACUGACGCUGAGGCGCGAAAGCGCGGGGAGCGAACGGG
rnacentral:rRNA from 1 species